rnacentral:sRNA from 1 species
UCACAACAGUUUCUGCUGCACCUCUUCCCAGUGUAAGACCUAUCUCCAUGAUGGACAAAUUCUUGCAAAGUUGCAAGCCUGCAGUUAUGAGGAAAUUGCAACUUUCAAGUAGGCUACUGCAUGUAGCAGAACAAGAUAUAUCUUCUAAGGGAGUGGUCAAUAUGCCCAAAAGAGGUGGAUGCAUAAUUAAGGUUGAAUGAGUGAUGGGUGGUUUAGUGCUUAAAUUAAAAGGUGAAGAGACCAGUAGUCGCUAGUUUCUCUUUUCAGUUCCUUUCUUUUAUCAUCUAAUAAAAUAAGUGAUAUAAAACUCCCAAGCAAAAGUGAAUAAUUGGACCACCUUUUUUGUAUUCAGACGAAAUAGCUGGUCUGCUAACU